GCGCGAAAACUCUACAAUGCAGGCAACUGCGAUAGGGGAACAUCGAGUGAUCCUCAUAUUGGGGGUCUGUCCACCCGCCUAAAAAGCGGGUGUUAGCAAGGGCCGGGCAAGACCGGUGCCAGCCGCCGCGGUAAUACCGGCGGCUCGAGUGGUGGCCGAUAUUAUUGAGUCUAAAGGGUCCGUAGCCGGCUUUGCAAGUCUCUCGGGAAAUCCAGCGGCUUAACCGUUGGUCGUCCGGGGGGUACUACAUUGCUUGGGACUGGGAGAGGCGAGAGGUACUCAGGGGGUAGGA
rnacentral:rRNA from 1 species